rnacentral:rRNA from 1 species
AUUGAACGCUGGCGGCAGGCUUAACACAUGCAAGUCGAGCGGAGAGAGGUAGCUUGCUACUGAUCUUAGCGGCGGACGGGUGAGUAAUGCUUAGGAAUCUGCCUAUUAGUGGGGGACAACAUUUCGAAAGGAAUGCUAAUACCGCAUACGUCCUACGGUACAGGAUGGGCAUGCGUCCUAUUAGCUAGAUGGUAAGGUAACGGCUUACCAUGGCUACGAUAGGUAGGGGGCCUGAGAGGGUGGUCCCCCACACUGGUACUGAGACACGGACCAGACUCCUACGGGAGGCAGCAGUGAGGAAUAUUGGUCAAUGGGCGCAAGCCUGAUCCAGCCAUGCCGCGUGUGUGAAGAAGGCCUUAUGGUUGUAAAGCACUUUAAGCGAGGAGGAGGCUACUUUAGUUAAUACCUAGAGAUAGUGGACGUUACUCGCAGAAUAAGCACCGGCUAACUACGUGCCAGCAGCCGCCGUAAAAC